rnacentral:rRNA from 1 species
GAGUUUGAUCCUGGCUCACAUUGAACGCUAGCGGCAUGCCUAACACAUGCAAGUCGAACGGGACAGCGCGGAGAGAACUUGUUUUUCUCUAGCGAGUUGAGUGGCGAACGGGUGAGUAAUGCGUAGGAAUCUACCUUUUAGAGGGGGAUAACCCGAGGAAACUCGGGCUAAUACCGCGUAGUAUCUCUUUUCAUAGAAAAGUUGAAGAAAGCGGGGGAUCCUUGAGUUUUUUUAAGGACCUCGCGCUAAGAGAUGAGCCUGCGUCGGAUUAGUUAGUUGGUGGGGUAAUAGCCCACCAAGACGAUGAUCCGUAGCUGGUCUGAGAGGAUGAUCAGCCACACUGGGACUGAGACACGGCCCAGACUCCUAUGGGAGGCAGCAGUGGGGAAUAUUGGACAAUGGGGGAAACCCUGAUCCAGCAAUGCCGCGUGUGUGAAGAAGGCCUUCGGGUUGUAAAGCACUUUCAGCAGGAAAGAAAGUCUUAAAGUUAAUACCUUUAAUGAGUUGACGUUACCUGCAGAAGAAGCACUGGCUAACUCUGUGCCAGCAGCCGCGGUAAUACAGAGAGUGCAAGCGUUAAUCGGAAUUACUGGGCGUAAAGCGCGCGUAGGUGGAUAUUAAAGUCGGGUGUGAAAGCCCCGAGCUUAACUCGGGAAUUGCGUUCGAUACUGAGUAUCUAGAGUAUAGUAGAGGGAAGUGGAAUUUCCGGUGUAGCGGUGACAUGCGUAGAUAUCGGAAGGAACACCAGUGGCGAAGGCGGCUUCCUGGACUAAUACUGACACUGAGGUGCGAAAGCUGAGGGAGCAAACAGGAUGAGAGACCCUGGAGUC